GACGAACGCUGGCGGCGUGCCUAAUACAUGCGAGUCGAACGCUGAAGGAGGAGCUUGCUUCUCUGGAUGAGUUGCGAACGGGUGAGUAACGCGUAUGUAACCUGCCUGGUAGCGGGGGAUAACUAUUGGAAACGAUAGCUAAUACCGCAUAAGAGUAGAUGUUGCAUGACAUUUGCUUAAAAGGUGCAAUUGCAUCACUACCAGAUGGACCUGCGUUGUAUUAGCUAGUUGGUGGGGUAACGGCUUACCAAGGCGACGAUACAUAGCCGACCUGAGAGGGUGAUCGGCCACACUGGAACUGAGACACGGCCCAGACUCCUACGGGAGGCAGCAGUAGGGAAUCUUCGGCAAUGGACGGAAGUCUGACCGAGCAACGCCGCGUGAGUGAAGAAGGUCUUCGGAUCGUAAAGCUCUGUUGUAAGAGAAGAACGAGUGUGAGAGUGGAAAGGUCACACUGGGACGGUACCUUACCAGAAAGGAAGGGUAAACUACGG
rnacentral:rRNA from 1 species